rnacentral:antisense_RNA from 1 species
UUAUCAGGGUGAACAAAGCAGGGGAGUAAGAGCAUCAGUAACUGUGAAACUCCAGGAGUUUGUCUUCAUUGUUUCAGUGAUAGACAGGGUCUCACACUGUCACUUAGGCUGGAGCACAGUGCGACAACAGCUGACUGCAGCCUCAAACUCCUGGUCUUAAGUGAUUCUUCCCACCUCGGCCUCCUGAGUAGCUGGAAUUAUAGGCAUGAGCCACGGCAUCCAGCCAUAAACUCUUUUGUCUCCAUUUUUCUAGAGUCAAUAUCUAGCAUUUGUAUUUCGUUCAUCAUACACUUGAGUUAAUAUCUGUGGAAAGGAUAAAUACAUAAGGAAAAGAGAUGCAGGAAACUGCAGAGAUACUGGCCGUUUAUCUGAGAAGUGCCCAAUGAGGCAUCACCGGAUAAGCACACGUCGGGUCAUUCUCCUGCUUCAGGGAGGUCUGUGGCGCUGACAUUAUCAAUGCUAUGGAUGCCUCAAGGCUCUGAUAAAAAUACCUGGCUUCAGCAAUAAGCAUGCAGUUAUCUCAGUUUAAAGGAAACGUGUUCUGCUCCCUGCUUAGUAAGAAAUGCUGCUUACUUCUCCAGCUUUUGAAGCACAGGUUUUAUGUUUGUUUGUUUGGGAUAGAAUCUCACUCUGUCACCCAGGCCAGAGAGCACUGACAUUGUCAUGGCUCCCUGCAC